rnacentral:rRNA from 1 species
CCUGCGAAGGAUCAUCA